rnacentral:lncRNA from 1 species
GUGUGCGCCUUUCCUGUGUGGGGCCAGACGACUGGGGUUCCAGUCUGGGUGAUAUCUGUGCACUUCUUAGCUGUUUGACAGGCCUCACAACAAUCAAAAGGGAGUAUAAGUGACCCUUGAACAGCAGGGUUUGAACUGCAUGGGUCCAUUUAUACGUGGGCUUUUGUCAAUAAAUAUAUUGGAAAUAUUUUGAAUAUUUCUGACAAUUUGAGAAACCACACAGACAAACGCAGUAGCCUAAAAAUGUCCCAGAAAGUUCGGGGAAAAGCUAGAUACGCCAUGAAGGCAUAAAAUAUAUGUGGAUGUGAGUUUAUUUUGUCAUUUACUACCAUCAAUUCAAGGGCUAACAGACAGGUUAAGAGAGGAUGACUUGAUGGAGACGAGUGCCAGAUGUUGAGGAAGUCGCAGAAGAAACAGCGCCAGGAAACAGAUUGACAUCAGACCAUCCUACAGAAGCAUUCUGAGUUUUCAAAGAUUGCUUUUGACGGCUUUUGCAACAUGGCUCCUUCAAUGAUACGGGCACUGAAACUAAAAUGAACGGUGGAGGGAUUAUGGUAUACAAACAUUUUUAGAGAAAUGAAUAAAGCAGAAAACUCAUACAGAAACGACGAUGUGUUUUCAUAAAGUUACACCAGGUGUGCCGGCCUCUCUUGCUCCCCCCCCUUCCACAUCCUCCACCUCCGCCCCCCAAGACAGCAAGACCCACGCCUCCUCCUCCUCAGCUGACUCAGUGUGAAAACCUGAGGAUGAAGACCUUUAUGAUGAUCCACCUCCACUUAGUAAAUAGAGACUGGGCUGCACUACAAGAGGCUCCUGGCUUACCCUUGGAUCCUGACCAUCAUGUGACCAGAGAAAUUGGUAACAUUUUUGUCUUGCAUGUUGAAAUGUUUCAUGACAGAAAGAUUUCGUUCAGUUUCCUGAUGUGGGUGAAGUGCAGAAUCCGAUGUUGAUUGAUUCUCCAAGCAGUGUAAGCCUUAGUCCCUGCACGGGGGUGAGUUUCCUGCCCUAAGAUGAGGGACCCAUGCAUGUGACCUGUGCCUCUUGGGAGAGCAGCCCUAAGCUAGUUUAAACUGACCAAGUUCUGUCUCCAUGGUAGAUUUAGGUUCCUCUGUAUUCUGUCUACACUGAGUACAUUUAGACCUGACCAUGUUAUGCAAACACUAGGACAUGUAGACCUGACUAAGACUCAGGCCAGUCCUGGGAACUUUAGGAGGCACAUGGAGACCUGGAUAAAGACCUGGUCUCAGUAAUGGGAUCUUCAGGGAGGCCAUGGAGACCUGGCUACAUAACCGGCCUCAGUACUGGGGAGCUUCAGAGGGGACGUGGGGACCUGGUUAGACACCCAGCCUGGCUCAGUCCUGGGAGCUUUAGUGCGGAUGUGGGCUCCAGGGUAGAGGCCUGGCAUCUGUCCUGAGAACUUCAGGUGGGACAUGGAAACCUGUGUAGAGAAGUAGCCUGCUGUCAUCCCACAACGGUGCCCCCUGAGCUCUCUCAGGGUUACACAGGAUACUGGCCCUAGAUA